CCUACGGGAGGCAGCAGUGAGGAAUAUUGGUCAAUGGACGAGAGUCUGAACCAGCCAAGUAGCGUGAAGGAUGACUGCCCUAUGGGUUGUAAACUUCUUUUAUAAAGGAAUAAAACGAGGCACGUGUGCCUUGUUGCAUGUAUUUUAUGAAUAAGGAUCGGCUAACUCCGCGCCAGCAGCCGGGGUAAUACGGAGGAUCCGAGCGUUAUCCGGAUUUAUUGGGUUUAAAGGGAGCGUAGAUGGGUUGUUAAGUCAGUUGUGAAAGUUUGCGGCUCAACCGUAAAAUUGCAAUUGAUACUGGCAGUCUUGAGUACAGUUGAGGUAGGCGGAAUUCGUGGUGUAGCGGUGAAAUGCUUAGAUAUCACGAAGAACUCCGGUUGCGAAGGCAACUUACUAAACUGCCACUGACAUUGAUGCUCGAAAGUGUGGGUAUCAAACAGGAUUAGAUACCCCAGUAGUC
rnacentral:rRNA from 1 species